AGUGCAAUACCAUAAACCUUGAAUAACACCAUGGGACCCAUAUGAAGGGCCACUAGGAAUGCUGGAAGUGCUCCCAAGAAGCAGAGAUCAGUCAUGACUUUACAAGAAGAAGUUGAAUUGCUCGAGUCUUGCUCUGUCAUCCAGGCUGGAGUGCAAUGUCGCCAGCUCGGCUCACUGCAACCUCCACCUCCCAGGUUCAAACGAUUCUCCUGCCUCAGCCUCCCGAGUAGCCGGGACUACAGGUAGAGACACUUUUGACUUGAUCUCUGCAGUCCUCAACAUGCCAUCUUCUAUCCCAAGGGCAGCCAUCUUCUAUCCCAAGGGCAGCCAUCUUCUAUCCUGAGGGAAGCUGGCCUGAGGAUGAAGCCAGAAUAUGGAGAAGAGGAGAAGGAGAUGGCUGAGAAGCAGAACGGAAACCUGAACUGCAUUUUUCUUAGAGCAAGAAUUACAUCAAUUCUUCAAGCCAAGUUGAGCACUGUUGGUUUCUGCUACUUGGAACUGAAUAAACUCUGACAGAUACUGUACAGGGAACAGUACUUGGGGAGCUCCACUUCAUCUGAGGCCUUCGUGAGUGGCUUGUGUCACAUUCCUGGCUGUUCAGGCAUCAGUCCUGGUUUCCUGGUGAGCUCUCUGCUGACUCCACCCAGAGCUCCCUUGCUUCCGUCUCUGCAGCAGCUACCUCCGUUCUCACACAUGGCUUCUUCUGAGUUUUCUUAUUUCAGCCAGUACCAUGGAACUCUCCUGACCUUGUGGGCUUUGGGCAGAAAUAACUCCACUCCCCACUUCUCUCCUAAAUUACUGGCAAUGGUGAUACUGACCAUGCAGGGAGAAACCUGAGCUGUUAAUGCUAGGAGCGUCAAGCUGUUGGUAGUGAAGCCAUCAUCCUCUCCAAGUUCCCAGAUACUUCUUUGUGAAAAUGAUGCACCAGACUCUCAUUUGUCAUCACUGGGAUUACUGUGAUCUUGUCUUGAAUUUCUACGAGUUUCACAUCCACGGUGGUAACUUAACCUGUCACUGUCUUGUUGCCUACACCUGCAUUACCCAGAACUACAGCCCAGGCACAGGCCCCUUCCAGGAUUCAGGUGGUCUCCAGAAAUUUCUUUUAGAAUGUAAUAAAUGCUUAAAGAAGAAUUAUACUGUGAGUAGAACAGCAUGCAGCCUGGCACUUAGCAAGUGAUCGAGAAAUAAUUCAUGAGUGAAUGAAUGAACAGAUGACAGAUGUAACCAAAAAUCAAAACUAAAAUCACUUCUGAAGUCGAGGAUGCACUUCUCAAUGGUGUGAACUUUAAAAGGUCAAAAAGUAAAUAUGUCCUUAUUUGGAAAAUAAGACAUGUUUCUUGUGAGGAAUAUUGGCCGAUCCAGAAAAAAAUAUAAAGAAGAAAAGAAAACAGCCAGAAAUCUCA
ensembl:lncRNA novel transcript